UGUUAAAAAAUUUCAUUCAUUUGUACUCUUAAAAACUGACAUGGUUAAGAAUACCUAGAUAAUGACACAUGGUGUACCACGUGUACCUCAUACUAAUGUACAAGACUAAUUUUUAACUGUAGAAAUGAAUAAAAUUUUUAAUA
rfam:Gossypium hirsutum cultivar TM-1 chromosome 20, whole genome shotgun sequence